rnacentral:lncRNA from 1 species
AAAUGACCAAAAUACCCUUAUAUUUGAUGCUAUGCGAGGAGCAUCAAAUAAAAGUCUAAAAUGCAGUAGUUAUAUUGCUGAUAUAGUAUUUCCAACCAAUCAAAUAGUUUUACUGAAAUACACCUAUCCUAUCAUAUUUUUUAAAAAAAUAUUUUUAUUGUACUUUUCUUUUAAAAAAGAAAUAUAAUUGGCUGAAUAUAUAUAUAUAUAUAUAUAUAUAUAUAUAUAUAUAGAUGAUGUGGUAUAAUUGCCACAUAUCAAAGGACAAAAAAAUUGAGAAGAGAGGAAGAGAGAGGGAGAGAAUGGGAGGAGAGUAAGCAGAGAAGAUGAAUACAAGUGUCGUUCUUCAAAAGCUUAAGCUAUUGAAGCUUUAUAUUUAAGAUUUUUUU